AACAUGAUAUAUUUGAGGAGAAACUUCAAAAAUUCUGAUUUUAUUAUCACUAAAAGCUAAAAUAAAAAAAUGUAUUUUUUUAUUUAAUUUUUCUUUUUUUAAGUGACUCUUCUGUUUGAUAUAAAUCAGGAGAAGUGAGUCGGUGGCCAUGACACCCACGGAGUGUUACACGAAUCACGAGGCAAAAAUGAACGAGAAGGAUUCGUCCAAGUGCAUUAAGAUUUGGAUUCACCACGCAUCUAUCUUCUCCUUUAUGACACUCCCCUGCGUCUCCCUUCUUUUGAUCGCUCCGUCCCCAAAAAAAAUUUUUUAUUUGCGAUCGGGGUCCUCUCUCGUGCUCUAUUUCUCUCGAAUUCUCUCACGUUCUCUGAUGAUCGCCUAUGCUGGAGACCUCCAUGGACAGGGGCCGCAAGAGGGUGGAGGCCGGCGAUCACCUCCUGGCGAUAGUGGCCAUGUAGCUCCUCCGAUAUCCACCCGGGAACGUCCUCCUCUGAACCCCCGGCGGAUUGCGACAUGGACCAAGAUCCAUCAACGUCUGGAUCGGAAGAGGAUGAUGACCAUGGUGAGUAUGACUUCCAUGAUGAUCCAAACUAUGCUUCUUGCAACGUGGAGAACCAGAGGAGGUUGGAGGGGAUCGUCCCAAGGCUUGGUGAUGUCGAUUAUAUAUGGUGCGGUGUUUGCUGUGCUGACGGAGAUUUGUGAAGUUCAUACUAUGGAAUCAUUUGCUCUGAGGAAUUUCUCUGGUUCUUUGGCGCGUUGAGGAUGAUUGGACAAGCAAAUUAUCUUGUUGAGGAAUUAGCACAAAGCCAAAUGUUUUCAGCAACAAAAAACUGAGAACCACCCUUGCAUUGAUGUGAAUUCCAAAGUUAGUGUAUCUCGUAAAAAUCUGAAGCCAUCCAACGUUGCUUCACCCUCUCUGCAAUAUUUGUCUUCUGUUCAGCCUUCACAGGUCUCUUCAGUCUGCAGUGACUAGAAUUUAUGUCACUAAGCUUCAAUAGGAACUGCAGUUCAUUCUUUUGGUCUCUUCAGUCUGCAGUGGUGUCGAGCAAAUCGAGCACUUCAGCAUCGGUUUCCAGAUCGUAUUGCUUCAUGACCUCCGGCUGCCGCAUCUCCGACAAAGGAAUCAAAGCUAACUGAUCAUGGAUCAUCCCAAAAUUAACACAAAAUUAAACGGAUCACAUUAAUGUGAGCAAAUUAACUAUAUCGACACAGAGACUAGUCAAAAGGGACAGAUAAGGAGGAUGAUAUAUAUAAAUAUAUAUAUAUAUAUAAUAGAGAAAAAAAAAAGGGUUAUGACUUACGAGAUCCAGAUUUGGCACCAGAGGGCGUGUUUACUAGCGUCGUGGAGCUUGUUGUGCUUGACGUGGAUGAUGAUGAUGAGGGUCUCACCCUUAUCAAGGAGGUUAUUGAUGGCCCAGGCCAGCGCCGUCUUGCUGCUCAUGGAGAGGUCUAGUGCAACACUGAUCUUCCGAUCACCUUUCAUUUUCUCUUUCUUUGUUUCGUUUGACCGUCAACCCCUUAACUAAGAGACCUGUUUGUACGAAGCACUGGUCUCCAGGGCUCAAUCCUUGAACAGUAAAAUCACGCAACAUCGUUUUCAGGGAAGCAUAAGUGGCCACUUAUGUGUGCUGGUGCCCUAACCUCCCUGAUGCCUAUUUUUCGUUGAUGGUGAUUGAGUAUUUAGAUGUGGCCGAGCACGUGGCCUAGAAGUGCUUGCAAGUGUUGGAGAAGAUAUCGAAGAGGUAGCCUGUGGCCUACUUGCAAGCAGGGGUGGUCAUGCCAGUGCUGAAUUAGGGGUUGAUUGGGCUUCUCACCAAGCUUACUGUUAACUCAAUGGUAGCAUUCAAGACACUCUUUGAGUUGAAUAUAGGUGGUAUUCUACGUGAAGUUAUUUUGACAAUGUUAGACCUAUCCCAUAGCACUUCUUCUCACUUGUUAAUUUCUUGAAGAUGGCUGACCUAAUCAGGUUUAAAGUCUUUAAACUUCAUUUUUGCUAUAAUUGUUCAUGAUCUCCUUUCGCAGGAUUUUGUUGGAAGUCUUGUAUGAACUGAAAAAUUCAUACUUUUAUUUGUCAAAAUAUAUAGCCUUGUAAUUGAUAGAAAUAACUUCAAAUUAAUUCUGAUAACUAUUCUAAUGCGAUUGUAGAAGAUAGAGCUCCAAGGCAAGAGAGCACCUGAAAAUAAAACUUUUUGUUAAAAGGAAUAUUUGUGUUUGGAUGGAUCCUGAUCUGUUAGAAAGAAAUGCUGAAGAAAGUCAUACAUUGAAGUCAUGCAGAUCUUAAAAUGUGAAACAUAUUAUGCAAUUAAGCUCCUCUUUUAAUGUGUUGAUUUUGGUAGUUUAUAAAUGAUCUUUUACUUUUGAUUUUUUUUCCUUUGUUCAGUGUCUGCACUCUUAAUCCUCUUGCUCUUCAUUAUUUUCAAGUCACUAUAGUGAUAUUGAUUGUAUCAUGGUCGAUAGUCCUUUUGGUUUCUCUAGUUAUAUUUUGAAUUCAAAGUAUAAUUUAUGUGAUUGAAACUCUUACUCUAAAAACUUGUACUCUUGUUAAGUAUGUUUGUGUUAUGCAUUCAUGUCAAGGAAGGUGGCAUCAUCAGAGGCAAAAUCUUGUACUCUUGUUAAGGAAGUUGUGCUUAAUUUAGCAAAGCGCAUAAAGUUUACUUACUGCAUCUCUGAUUCAGUUGACUCGGAAAUGGCUUUGACUGAAAUUUUGCAGAAGAUCAAAACAUUUUGUGCAAUCUUAAAUGACAAUGUGAUCAUGUUUUCAACAAAUGAUGAUUUCUCUCAAAAUGUGGAACACUUGGCUCGUGUUUUAGAUCAAGUUAUGCAAGAGCUUGAUGGGGAAGGGCAUGCCCACUUUUGAGUUCAUUGAGAGUGGAAUAAUCAGAUCCUUGGUGCACUAUUUAUCCAAUGGCAGAUAUCCUUUUGGAGGACAAUGUGGUUCGUGGCAUGAGUAAUGAUUUUCUUAUUGCACGGAAGAGGUUCCAGAAAUUCUCUUAUAUUUCUUUGUCAAAAGCAGGCCAACGUUGGAAGGAUAUGCUUCUGACAUUGUUAGUAAGAAAACUGCACAUAACAUUGUUUGGACUGUUACAUUUUGUAUUUGUUUGUUGUAUUAGAUGUUUGGAUUAUUAUAUUUUGUAUUCAAUUGUUGUUCGGGAUACUUAUAAAUGGGAAUGUUUAUUUUGCAAA